GAUGAACGCUAGCGGCAGGCCUAACACAUGCAAGUCGAGGGAGAAGCCCUUUCGGGGGCAGAAACCGGCGCACGGGUGCGUAACGCGUAUGCAACCUACCUUUCACAGGGGGAUAGCCCGAAGAAAUCUGGAUUAAUACCCCAUAAUAUUAUUGGAUGGCAUCAUUUGAUAAUUAAAACUGCGGUGGUGAAAGAUGGGCAUGCGUCCUAUUAGCUAGUUGGAGUGGUAACGGCACCCCAAGGCUACGAUAGGUAGGGGUCCUGAGAGGGAGAUCCCCCACACUGGUACUGAGACAGGGACCAGACUCCUACGGGAGGCAGCAGUGAGGAAUAUUGGUCAAUGGUCGGAAGACUGAACCAGCCAUGCCGCGUGCAGGAAGAAUGCCUUAUGGGUUGUAAACUGCUUUUAUAUGGGAAGAAUAAGGCGUACGUGUACGUUGAUGACGGUACCAUAUGAAUAAGCAUCGGCUAACUCCGUG
rnacentral:rRNA from 1 species